CAGUCGCCACGGUAAUACGUAGGGUGCGAGCGUUAAUCGGAAUUACUGGGCGUAAAGCGUGCGCAGGCGGUUUUGUAAGACAGGCGUGAAAUCCCCGGGCUCAACCUGGGAAUGGCGCUUGUGACUGCAAAGCUAGAGUGCGGCAGAGGGGGAUGGAAUUCCGCGUGUAGCAGUGAAAUGCGUAGAUAUGCGGAGGAACACCGAUGGCGAAGGCAAUCCCCUGGGCCUGCACUGACGCUCGUGCACGAAAGCGUGGGGAGCAAACAGGAUUAGAUACCCCGGUAGUCCCUGUCUCUUAUAC
rnacentral:rRNA from 1 species